rnacentral:ncRNA from 1 species
UAGCGCAGGUGCCGCAGUAAUGCGGCAGACGAGGAAAGAGGUCGUCGAAUAGUCAGCGGAUGCCUCUCGGCUUGCUGCAGGCCGUAAAGCUGGGUACAAAUACUGCCGGUAACGGCAGAGACAAAAUCCUGGUG